AAUGGCGUCUACCAGAAAGUCUUCACGAGUUCGUACUGUCCCCGGCUUUAGUCCAGCCAAAAGAAGAAGACCAGAAAGUCUGGCAAGAUGAUCACCAGAGCCUCUGCCAUUAUUUCACCGAAGCUGCACCUGGUGGUGGACGCCUACGUCUUAGCUCUGACGUCACGUUUCCCGCCGACAAGGCAGCUGGUGGGCAGUGACGUGCGUCUGUUCUACCGCCUGUUGUGGAACUUGCCUACGCCCCUCACCGACUGGAUUCUCGUCAAAUCAAGAGAGUUACUUGCAAACUAAUAGCAAAGACCCAGUCUACUUUGACUUCAAACAGUAAUGCUACAAACAUACAUUUGAUUAAACUUUCCCUCACACAUCAAGAUACUUAAAUCUCUUAUUAAAUGUUACACAUACGUAGAAUAAUUUAUUAACAAGCAUACGUGCUAUCCUAUUUGUUGUCGAAGAUUUAAAGGCUCACUUGAUGAAAAUAUAUAUGUCUCGAACAAAACUUCGAAAGAAAAUAAAUCAAAAUAUUUGCUUUUCAAAA